rnacentral:lncRNA from 1 species
UUGAAAAGAUCGUGAAAAUAGGUUUGCAAUCUCUCGUUGAUGUUCUUCUCCUUCAUUAAAAUACAUCUAUCCCUACCUUUAUAAACUUCACAACUUUUAGAUCAUGUCUUUUUGUUUCCCUAGCUUUGACAAUUUUGAUCAUAUUAUCAUGCUCCCUAAGUCUCCAUACUCCAUUACAUCUCCUCAUAGGUUAUCUACUUUGCUUUAGAUGAUGCCUUCUUUGCCUCCCAUUUGCCAACUUCUCUCAUUCAAUCCCACUCGUUCCUCCUCAUCAGGGCUUAACUCUAGACAAGCUGUGGAAACUACCAAGUUGGAGUACGGUAGGGGCAAAGGGAAUUUCCGGUGGAGCCGUGAAAUGCGUAGAGAUCGGAAAGAACACCAACCGCGAAAGCACUCUGCUGGGCCACACUGACACUGAGGGACGAAAGCUAGAGGAGUGAAUGGGAUUAGAUGCCCUAGUAGUCCUAGCCGUAAACGAUGGUACUAGGCGUUGUGCGUAUCGACCCGUACAGUGUUGUAGCUAACGUGUUAAGUAUCCCGCCUAGGGAGUACGUUCGCAAGAAUGAAACUCAAAGGAAUUGAUGGGGGCCCGCACAAGCGAUGAAGCCUGUGGUUUAAUUUGAUACAAAGCGAAGAACCUUACCAGAGCUUGACAUGCCGCGAAUCCUCUUGAAAGAGAGGGGUUCUAUCUCAAGAGCUCCCUAAAACUCCCUUAUUUAUCCUUUACCUUCCCAUACACCACUAAGAUUCCUUACGCCCAUAUGCCUUCCUGUUGUAUGAUAGUCUCCU